GGGAGACGGCAGUGCUGGCUGAGCUACUAGAGCCCCAACCUCAGUGACUUGGCAGUUAGAAUCCUCAGUCACCGUUACAAUGGGGAGGUUUGUAAAUGGUCCACGACAGUUUACCAACGGUUUGCACAGAGACUGCAACUGCUUCCUCCAGAACACGCGUUAUCUCAACCCUGGCUAAUCACGUCUUAACUAUAAUAGUGAUGAUGGUUUUUUUUUUUUAAGUGAACACCAUUGUACACCAUUGUGCCCGCCACUGUACAGAUGGGUUACAUGCAUCGUCUCAUGUAAUCUUCACCAUAACCCUACAGGAUCCAGGUGUUACAAUCAUCAGUUUUAUGGAUGUGGAAACUGAGGUUUAGAGAGGUUACAGGACUGCCAAGUCUUCCAGCAAGGAAAUGGCCAAGCCAGGAUUCUAUCUCAGCACUUUGCAGGCUCCAGAGCCUGUGCUCUUAAGCUCUGUCCUGCCUUUGCCUCCCUCUUUUUUUGACCCGUCUGUAGAUCCUACCAGGACAGACAAUUCAGGUGACAGCCUGAUGAUGUGAGGCCUCUGGCCUGAGAUACAGCAGUAAUGAGCAACACACCAGCAUCCCUCUACCUGGUCACAAAGCAGAACAGUGAAUGCUUGAUCAAAUGCAAUAAAGUUGAUAAAAAGAAAACUAAAUCCGGCAGAAGUCUGAGGAAUUCCAAGUAUCCGAUUAAAAGGCUUUCAACUCAGUAUCAUCUAACUCAUGGGUGGGUGUCUGCCAUUGUGAUAACCAGCCCCAGCCCUAAGAGCACAGGCUCAUUAAACAUCUGAAGUGAUAGGAAGGGCCUAUCAGUUGGGAGCCAUUCAGUCCCAACCUCUCACUGGCCCAACAGGGUGGGCACCUUAGGCAGAACCAAAUGGUACAGAGCAAAAUCUGCGUUCUUGGCCAACGGAGUGUGGCUGAGAUUACCCAUCACAAUGCCUAUGCCAUUGAACCCUGGCUCAGAGUCCCAAAGCUCAGGUGACUAACUUGGUUUUAUAUCAACACUUGACAUUUCACAGUAUCUGUACAGUGUUUGAAUAACAAAAGGCCUGUACACACAUCUUAUCACGCUGCCCUUAAAUCCUUUCUGGGAAAAGGUGGGGAUAAAAACAAAAACAAAGAUCCUAUUUCCCUAACUAGAUUGUGGACUCCAAGGGCAGAGGUACACCUGUAACCAUUUCUCCAUUCUCAGCUCUGAGCACAGGGUCAACUUGCAAACUGGAGUUCAACCAUCUUUGCCAAACGAGCCUUUAACCUCGCUUUUGAGACAGGCACGCAAGAGACAUCCAUACACCCCGACAAAAGAAAAUAAUCCUCGUAAGACGCAAUGUCAAUUGUGGCAAAGCACAACAGAAUCAUCCUCUCUGAGGUAGCUUUGCACCCCAGUGCUCAUAGCAGCACUAUUUACAAUAGCCAACACACGGAAGCAACCUAAGUGUCCAUCAACAGAGGAAUGGAUAAAGAAGAUAUGGUGUAUGUAUAUACUUACACAUGUACACACACACACACACAAAUGGAAUAUUACCCAGCCAUCAAAGAAGAAUGAAAUAAUGCUAUUUGCAGCAACAUGGAUGGACCUAGAGAUUACCAUUCUAAGUGAAGUAAGUCAAAUAUAUGAUAUUGCUUAUAUGUGGAAUCUAAAGAAAAUGAUACAGAUGAACUUACUUACAGAACAAAUAAACCCUGAGACACAGCAAACAAACUUAUGGUCACCAAAGGAGAAAGGUGAGGGGAGGGAGGGAUAAAUUAGGAGUUUGGGAUGAACAUAUACACACUACUAUGUAUAAAAUAGAUAAACAAGGACCUACUGUACAGCACAGGGAACUAUACAAUAUUUUGUAAUAACCUAUGGGGGAAAGAAUCUGAAAAAAUAUAUAACUGAAUCACUGUGCUGUACAUCUGAAACUAACACAACAUUGUAAAUCAACUAUACUUCAAUUAAAAACAACCCCUUCUUGAGUCAAUAGGUAUGAUUGCCUCUGGAAGACUUUCUAACAAAACAUCUUCCAGAACCAGUUUCAUCGAUGGUCCUGAGAAACAAAACGCCUCUAUCCUCCAAAGCCAGAAAGAUGCGUUUGUGGCUUGGACCGUUCAUCUGAACAUCUCACACCUUGCCUUGUAUUGUUUAGCUUUUCCUGGCCUUUGUUUGCCAACUACACUCCACGAUCUCAAGCAGCAAGUUUGAGUAGCACAGCGUUGUAAUGAGAGCACAGACUGCCUGGUGGUGAAUCCCGCCUUCCCCACACCCAGCUAUGCGGCCCUGGGGAGGACAGAAACUGAGUCAUGCUUUCCGCGUAAAAGGGUCAUAUCCCAGACUCAUUGGGCUGUGCGAUCUUUCUCUAGUGGAAUACCUAAUGACACCCCAGAAAAAGAAUGGGAAAGGCUUGGGGGAACCACUGCCUUCAUCAGUUUCUACAAUCAGGAGGAUGGGAAGAACUUCAGACUUUAGGAAUGAAUUUCCAUGUCAUCUCAUAAAAUUUAGUCAUCUUCCAAAAAGCUACCUCCCCUGCCCAGUGAAGAAAAUCCAUCCCCAAUGGUGAAACCAAAGCUCCUCGUUACUCUCCACGAAGCCAGUUUCCAUGACACCUGCCAAGUGACCCCAGAUCCUACCGGGCUUCCCUCCUCUGAUGCUGCAAAGGACAGCACCACUCACCUCCAGCCGUCCUGCUACUUUACCUACCCUUUCCCCACAGCCUGCAAGCUCCGCCCCCCCAGCCCCCCUCUCAGGGAACAGCUCUCCUCUGCUGCAUCCACUCCCCACUGGGCACCAGUGGGCAGUCACUCACGGUUGUGUUGGCCCCCCCUCUUUCCUUUUGAAACUUGAACCUUCCUGGGGACCGAGAGAGUGCUAUACCCUAAAAUCAGGUGACUGGGUUUAUUCGCUUUUGCCGUGGACCUUGCCUCACAGCAAUAAGGGACCCCGGGAUGUGCUGUCAUGCCCAAAGCUUUACUCUUACUUUACUUAGGCUUUUCUAUUUUACUUUAAUGCGGGAAAUUUAAAUGCUUUUUCAUCUCUGAAAUGUGAUUUUCUUUUUCUUUAAAUUCUCUACCUCCUCCAGCCGCACAUUUUUUUUUUGGCCUCAGUACUAUAACUUCAGUUUUGAAAUGAAAGUUGGGCAAUGACUAUGGCUUCACCUGCAGAAAUGAGCUGGCUGUCUGGCCCAGGAGUUGGCAAACGUUUUCUAUAAAAGAUAGUGCGUAUUUAGGCUUUGCAGGCCCCACGGGCUCUGUCACAACCGCUCAACUCGGGCACUGCAGCACGAAGGCAGCCCCAGACAAUAUGUAAACAAAUGGGCAUGGCUGUGUUCCAUUAAAACUUUAUUCACCAGCCCAGGCUGUGAGCUGGAUUUGGCACAUGGCUGUAGACAAGCCUUCCCUCUACUAACAAGAGUAUCUGUGGUUCUCUAAAGAAUCAAAUUAAAUCUGAUUUCCUGAGCCACCCUGGAAAUAAAAAGGUGGGUGACUGUAAAUGAAUCCCAGCCUGAGAAAAGAUGACAAGCAUUAAAAAAAAAAAAAAAAAAAUUAUGUCUGAGAAAAAAUGUACUUCGAUUUUCUACAAAAAACAGUUUGAAAUGAGAAACAAGCAGGAUGAAAAAAAAUGGCCACUCCCCAGAGCCUCUCACCUAUGGCCCACAUUUCCAAUCAGCCUGGGUUUAAGAAACACUGGCCUUUUCCAAGAGCCAGGAUCUCUGCUUCUGCUAUCCACCCAUCAACAGGAAGAUUCCUCCUGUGACCCCUUCAGUCCUCAGGGCACAAGGCAGGGUUCCGGGCCGAGGCUUUCUCGGGCACGUUCAGGACUGGGUAGGCGAGAUCCUCUCCAUCCAGCACAGUGAUGGGCUUGUUCAGGCUCGGCACCAUCGGCCAAGAGCCCCAACCCGCCAGGACAAUGGGAACAUUCAACAAUUCAUGAGCUGGAGGCUCAACUCGUUUGUCCUUGACAUAACUCCAUUUUUUUCCAUAAGGAGACUACUUAGCUAUGACCUAAGUCUUUCUAUAAGCAUACUGUUAGCAAGGUGGCCCCAGAAAGUCUAAACUUGUGCCCUGUUCAACUAAAUGAUUUGAAACUGAAGGCUCCUGGGCAAUGAAUGAUGUAACUUGAGAAAAGCGGUCACAUUUUUUUCUCCAUAGUUCCACCUAAUUUCAGAUGACACCUAUUCUUGUCCCUGCUGGUCGCUGGACCCUGUCCCUUCAAGUUCUUAUCCUCCCGUUUUCACUGGUGACUCUGUUCCUGAAGUCUGUCCACUCCUGAAUUUUUCUCCCUGCCCUCAUCAUACUAUACUGGUCCUGCUCCGAAUGCCAUCCUGUGUGCACAAGGCCCGCAGCUGGCCAGGACUCCCCCAUCGUUAACUCAGUUCUCACCCUCUCUGGGUGCCUUGUCAGUUACGAGCUUCCUCCACAGGGUGUUGAAAGCAUUUGGGUCCCCAUAGUUUCUUAUGUAACAGGCUGACCUUUCUUCCAGAUAAAACGAACAAAGAAGUUGGUGAACAUGGAUGCCGUGGAUUUCUCUCUUUGCAAAGUUUCUAAAACAUGAUCUAACUUUUGACCUGAACAAGUUGAUACUGUUCCUAUAAGCCACAAUGUCUCUGGCAGAUUUAGAGGUGAAAGUUUAAAGAUUAAAGGGUAAGGGGUAAAGUUCUGAGUAUUAAAUGAACAAUCCUCUGAUUGACUCUGACUCCAAGAAACAAGUUUUUCAUGCUAAUAAAGCUAAGAUGGAGCAAAAGGUCAGAAAGCUUUGGCAGCCAAAGCUAUUUUGCCAAUGACACAUGCUGACAGAAUCAGGCUACAAGCAAUGACAGAACUAUUAUCUGGAGAAAAUCAAGCCCUUGGGGCAGUACAAGAUUGAGGAAUUUAACAGAAUUGUGGUUAGAGCUCUGGAAAAACCAGAUUUUAAGCAGGAUCUUGCAGGAAACAUCUCGAAUCUGGUCCACUGAAUGUCACGGACCUUCUAAAGGAAGUGAGAAAAUCAGAUCCCGUUAAGAACCAACGUCGGGACUGAAGGACGAUGAAUUAAAGCACACUUAUCAACACAGCCUUCAUACCUCCUCCGUGGAGCAAACCUUCAUCUCAUCUAAGAUGUUAGUACAGACCCUUCUGGCUACACCUCGAAUGAAAAAUAAACAAAUGAUAUGCCAUCGGUUCUGGUCGUGUCCACUGUCUGAAGUCUUCUGGCUGUUAAGGAACAGAUGAGUUGACUCUGAAAGAACACGUAGUAUCUAGGUUUGUGACUUUCGACAGAAUAUUCUGAAUGAACCACUAACUUGCAGAUCUGUAUUAUUUCUCACUACAGUUGUAUCCAAAAAAGAAAAAGAUAUAUUUUUUUAAAUGUAGAGUCCAACAGGGACCUAGAAUUUCAGAUGUGUAAUGAAGAAAAUGUAUCAAAGAGCAAAUAAGAAACUACAGAAGAUGUUUAUCCAUAGUUAUAAACUUAAAACAUAGGGGAAAAAAAACCCAAGUAGGAAAGAAAGAAGAGGAAUACAGAAUAGCAACAGUCUAUUAAAAUCUUUCCCAUAAAUGCUUUUACUUGAAGAUCUUAAAAAUAACGUGGCAGGUCAAAAAAAAAAAUUGCAACAGCCUAAAAAUUAAGCAAUCUUUCUGAUUCACAUAAUUGUAACAAGUUUUGUUCUUAAGAAAACAUCAAGGGCUUCCCUGGUGGCGCAGUAGUUGAGAAUCCGCCUACCGAUGCAGGGAACACGGGUUCGUGCCCCGGUCCGGGAAGAUUCCACAUGCCGCAGAGCGGCUGGGCCCGUGAGCCAUGGCCGCUGAGCCUGCGCGUCCGGAGCCUGUGCCCCGCAACGGGAGAGGCCACAACAGUGAGAGGCCCGCGUACAGCAAAAAAAAAAAAAAAAAACAUCAAGUUUUCCGUCACAGUCCUAGUUAAUCAUAAGCCUAAGUGGGACAUGGCGCUCCUGUCACCUGUUCCUUUGCUGUCCCCGCUGAUGAGGACAGUACACUCCUGCCGAGGGCUUUAACUGUCAGCACCACCUGCUUGUUACACUGGGAUCAAACAAUCCUACCAGAACAUUUAGCUCUGCUUGUGCAGACAAGAAAGCUGGCCCCAAAGUACUGUUCAGAGGGGGAAAAAGUCAAUUUGCAGAACUCGAUGGUGAAUAUGAGCACAUUUUGGUUAAAAGCAUUUUUAAAAGCCAUUCUGGUUACUCAACCAUAAAAAAGAAUGAAAUAAGGCCAUUUGCAGCAACAUGGAUGGACCUAGAGAUGAUCAUACUGAGUGAAGGAAGUCAGAUAGAAAAAGACAAAUAUGAUUUAAUAUCCCUUAUAGGUGGAAUCUAAAAAAUAGUACAAAUGAACUUAUUUACGAAACAGAAACAGACUUACAGACAGAAAACAAACUUAUGGUUACCAACGGGGGAAAAAGUGGGGGAAGGAUAAAUUAGGAGGUUGGGAUUCACAUUUAUACACACUACUAUAUAUAAAAUAGAUAGCCACCAAGGACCUACUGUAUAGCACAGGGAACUCUACUCAAUAUC